CAUACUUUAGGUCUCACACUCGAUUUUGUUUCCUAAAAGUUUUCUUUGUCUGAGACAUUCUGAUUCUGUGACCCAAGCCCAGAAGGGAAUGGACAGAGAGAACUCAAAACCAUCACUUUGUCAUCAAACAUGGAGAAACUGAAGGAUUCACAGAAGUAUGCACUGAGUGUAGGGCUCCCCUCCCCCCCUGCCAUGCUGUCCGGUGGGUACUGCAGAGUGGUAGGAAGGUAGGGGCUUGCUACAGCUGACUUGGGCAUGGCCCUUUUCAGACAUGCAGGAGGCAGCAUCACUUAUGAAAGCCUGGCCCAGGCUGGCCUUUGAGAAGCCAGCGUCACAGGCCCUGUCUGGGGCCCAGACUUCCUGCCAUCCCUCUGAGGCCUGGGCUCGUCAGCACACUCAGUCACUUUGUUCCAGGCCUGUGGGUGGCUUUGUCAGCAGUAUAACUGAAAUAGGCCAGCCCAUCCCUUCUUUGGUGGAUAUACGGUGUCAGGGCGGAUCUAACUCCUGUACUGCAAAUGUCAGGAAAUGGAAACAAGGCCUGCAACCCACUCAGUUUCUUCCUCUCCAGUAACUGGGGCCUUUGGUUUAUAGAAUGGCUCCUUUGUACCCCGACCCAGGCAAGACCUGGCAACUCGGAGUUAUUCCCAGUUGUUCAAGAUGAAAAGGACAGAGAGGCAGAUUUUAGAAAAAUGAGUCAGGCAACGAGGGGAAAUUCAAUUUCUGUGGCCUAAGAAACAUUGAAACAUGCUGUUCUUCCUCUUUAAACCAAACACAAUCAGGAAACAUUGCCUGCACCUCUCCCAUUUCCCAUCAUGAAAUGUCGAGACGGAAGUCUUUCAUCUCCAAGUGGUCACAAAACCUUCAUUGUACUGGGAUUUUCUGUGAACCUGUUUUGAGAGGACAGCAACCUGAGGACAGAGACUUGGUCUGGAGGACCCUGGAGUCCCCAGGGCCCAGUUGAGAGCAGUGCCAAUGAGACAUGACACUGGUUGGAGUAGAAGAUGGAAUCUGCAGAGUACCACCUUUCAUGGAAUCUUGGGGCUAAGACUAAAACCUAGCCUCCAAGAAGAGAUGUUCAACCUCUUGAAUUGUCAAAUAAAGGGAAUAGUUGGAAGGAAAAACUGCCUAUG